rnacentral:rRNA from 1 species
GACGAACGCUGGCGGCGUGCUUAACACAUGCAAGUCGAACGAGUGGCGAAAGGGUGAGUAACACGUGGGGUACCUGCCCUGCAAUUCAGGCUAAGCCUGGGAAACUGGGUCUAAUACAGGAUCGUGUGGGGUGGGCCCGCGGCCUAUCAGUUUGUUGGUGGGGUAAUGGCAACCAAGGCGCGACGGGUAGCCGGCCUGAGAGGGUGGGCGGCCAUACUGGAACUGAGACACGGUCCAGACUCCUACGGGAGGCAGCAGUGGGGAAUAUUGGACAAUGGGCGAAAGCCUGAUCCAGCCAUGCCGCGUGUGUGAAGAAGGUUUUCGGAUUGUAAAGCACUUUAAGUUGAGAGGCGUUACCAACAGAAUAAGCACCGGCUAACUUCGUGCCAGCAGCCGCGGUAAUAC